ACUUUCAACAACGGAUCUCUUGGCUCUCGCAUCGAUGAAGAACGUAGCGAAGCGCGAUAUGUAAUGUGAAUUGCAGAAUUCCGUGAAUCAUCGAAUUUUUGAACGCAAAUUGCACUCUCUGGUAUUCCAGAGAGUAUGCCUGUUUGAGGGUCAGU
rnacentral:rRNA from 1 species